GGGAAAAAAAUAGAAGACUGACAUGAUGCCUCUGGCCUGCCAAUGCUUACAGAUCCAGGGUCAAGGAGAGAUGCUAUAUUCACUGCAGCUUACAUUUUGCCUCUUCUGCAAAGCAAUAGGAAAAUCUUUGUUCGGUCGCCAGUAGGUACCGCGUCUGCUGAAAUGUUUCCAUGGAGACAGGGCAUAGCUCAGCUCCGCAGCCGAGAUGCCUGUUACAGUCCUUGCGUGGGUACCGUGUUUACUUGUGUGGUUGAUGGAGCGUGCAACAAAGGCGAUUCCCUUCUUUAGGAGUCGCAUUUUGCUAGAAAUUAACUGCUUAUUUCCUAAAGAAAACUUAAGGCUCUUUAAACUACACAAAGGGGAAGCAGACAAAGAAACGAAUGCAUGAACAUUUCACAGAAAUUUCACAAUAUUCCAGUGAAGACUGAGGAAACUUGAAAUCCAGGCACAGUUGAGAUCCUGUUUUCUGAGUCUGGGCUUGAAUUGCAUUUCAGAUAUAUGUAUUUAUAGAUCUAAAAUCGAACAAAUACUGUCUUCUUUAACAUGAAAUUACUUUAACUCGUUCACUCCUUGACAUUUAGAAUUAAAAAGAUGCUUCAUGGAAUAUCAGAAUGUGAGUGGUUUAUGUAAGCACCUUUGCUAGUGAAGUAUCCUCUCAGUCACAGAAUGGGGUUUGAAAUGUAUAAUUAUGUUUGAAAAUUUUUGUACGCUUUAUUUGGAUUGAAUUUUUCAGGAAUUUUUCCAUUUGAAUGUAUAUGUUUGCUUCAUCAAGGUUAAUGAACUGAAAAAAGGAAAAGCCAAUGGAAAUGUAUUUUGUUUCAAGCUGCAGGUAUUGAGUUUUCUGUUUGGUUGUGAUAUCCAAACCAUGCCUCAUUCUGCAACAUUUAUUGGAACAAGAUGCACCUAGGAGAAAAGUUUGACACUAAGCUCUAGGAUGUGCCUCCCAUAGAACAACUAGGCUGGGAUACCAUCAUCUGGGAAUUUUAUUGACAAAGAUCCAGGAAUCUGAUGUGCAGAAGAUGCCCUCACUUCCUCCUGCUUUCUUCCUGUAGCACAUCAUAGUUUUUGAGCUAGACACAAUCCCUGCAUGCCUGCAGGAAGAAUGGAAGCUUCUCCACCACCUGAGAAGAGGGCACAUCAGACAGUUCUAAUGAAGGAACUGCGGUCUCCAAAUUUUCAGUUACAGUACCUAUAAUGAACGGACUGCGACAGGAAACAGACACUAAGAGUAAAAGAAUAACUAAGUACAUAGUUCUGGUUUUUGAAAACAUAAAGAAAUGCUGCAGAAUCAAUUUAAUUCCUCUGAGUUUGUUUCCUGGAUACAAAAGAAAAUGACACCCAUUCUUCCUUUUGUAUCUCAUCUGACUGGGAAGUUCCAUCACUGUAUUUCUUUGCUGAUUCUUUCUCCUACUAAUAUUCACUGCUUUUGAUCCUGUGUUCAUCUGUGAUUUAUCCUGUAAGCAUCCAUUCCAUUUAGGCUAAUGGAACUGUUUAGAAGCAAUUUUUUUGCAAGAAACUGAAAUUUAGGAUGAAAAGAAGUAGAAAUCAGAGUACACAGCUUGAACUCUCUUUGAGUUACUUGAUUUUGAAAGUUGCUGGAACAUGUAGUCAGCCAAGCACAUUGCAACAACAGUGCCAAGAGAGUUAUGACAUAUUUUUAUUGCAAAAAAAUAUAACGUUUUAAAUGUCAACAACCUGUUAAGUCAGUGCUUUCACAUUACUUCAAUUUAGGGCUUAAUCUCAGGGCCAGGCAAACAGUUUCAACCUCCUUUAGCAGACUUUAGAGGAGAAAACAGGAACCUGUGUUGGAAUGCAGGUCAUGAGCUGGCUGUUCCUUUCCUGCACUAGAAGCAAGCACAGCACCGCACCAGAUACCUGUUGUCAGGCUGAUAUUGCUGCCCAGCACAGUACAGCAACAAAAAAAAUCAUUAUGGGUAGCAUUUGCGCUUACAAAGUUUGAUAUUAUUCUCACUUGCUGAAACUCAAAAUUCGUGAAAGCCUUUGCCAGUACAAAUCAUGCUCACGCAACCUAAUUUCAGUGUUGGUCUUGCCUCUUCCUCUCCCGUUCACCAUCACUCCCCAUUGCAGAAGGAGUUUUGUUGAUUUCCCAGGCAGAGGUUUACAGGCUGGAUCUUUGGCCCAAACAGAGGACCUCAGUGAAUGACGGCACGGUGACACCAAUGCUUUGUUAGAUACACCUCCCUACGCUGAAGAACUGAGCUCCUGCUCUUUGAACAACCCUCGUACAUCGUUCAGGUCUCCAGGAGUUCAACAUAACGACGGACAAUUCUGUGAAUUAAAAGUAUACUAACGGCUCCUGACAUUCACAGGAGUUUUCAGGAAAUGAUUGGACUUGCUUAAUGCAUGAUAAUUUCCCUUUGCAUUUUAACAUGCUCGGCAUUUGUCAGUGAACCUUUGUACCAGAGAAAGAUACCUGCGACUCUUAAUUCUCUAUUAAAGAUAAACUGAUUCUAACAGAUUGUCUUACAGUGGCUUCUUCUAAGCUACAUGCUAGGGAGGUGGAAAUGUUAAAAAUACCUGUAGUUAGAAAUGGCAGUGUACAAACACCCAUCUUAGAGGAAAAUUUGCCUUCCGAAGGCAAUAAAAUUGAAAAUCUGGAUGUGUUCUGUGCACAUUAGUGAUACAGAAGCCAACUGAUGGAGCUGGUUGGCAGCAUACCACAUCCUGCAAUCAAUUCAAAGUGGGUCGUGGUCCUCAAUGCUCCCCAAUCUGCCUUCAAAAAGUCACCUCUGUUCUGAUACUCAUAUUUUUGACCCUUUUUGACAAGCAGCAACUUUGAAAUAGUCUGAGCUUAAUAUUUCAUUACUUGAGCUGGAAGCACAUCCUAGUUUGACUGAAGUUUUAUUUGCUUUUGCCAAAUCAGGUUUUGAAUUGGAAUUUAAGAAGAAAUCUUCUUAUUUAAUGCCCACAUUAUCUUCCUUAGAAUGUUAUUUAUUUUAUCAUUCUUAUUAAAUCAAAGAUUUUAAUCUCUUAUGUAAUAUGCAACAAAACUUGAAAUACCAACUAAGCUUCUCCUUUAUGAUAUCUUUUAAUGUCACUAUCACAUAUCAUUAUGGCAUGCUUAUUUUCCUAGCUUUUCUCUAAUUACACUUUUUUUCGUCUGAGCUUCAGUUAUGUCAGUCAAAUGCUAGAAAAUAAUAUGUAAAAUUUAAUAUAACUAUUUUUAUUAUUGGAGGAUUUUUUUCCUAAAAUGGUAUUCUAAUAAAAAUAUUUUUAUUAUAAUGAAUAGGCAGCAUAUUUGCGUUCUAUUUUUCAACUUCAGAUCAACAAAUC